UUAAGGUUUUUCAUGGAUUCUCGCUUGCUUACGGGUUUCCUAUUGGCUGCAAGAGAAUGGCACGACGGAAGCGGAUCAUAAACACCGAUUUAGAGAGAAAACAGGUCAUGGACGGGACUUUGGAUCUGAUCCCUAAGCACUGGGUAGCCGAGUUAUGUAACCAGUGCGAUCUGAUUGAUGUACGAGGGCAAAAACUCUGUGGCAGAGUCCUCUCUCUCGUUUGCAGCCUUAAUUCGUUACUUCUCCAGCUUUUCAAAAAUGCAGGAGACGUCUAGAAAUGGCUGUUGAGCAUUUUCAAACCUAUGUGCUAAGAGUCAGAAUGCUGUGGAGACACCAAGGCAACUCGAGUGCCCCACCCACAAAGCUCAGAAUGCUGCCUGUUUAGAGUUCUGAUGCCUGCCAUUGGAUGCGGGCACAUCAAAGGGGUGGGACUGGAGCAUCACACCAUUGAGGUCUGCUUGGAAAGGGGGAGGGACUUGAUAAAAAUCACCACCGCCGGUUACUGAGAGAUCUGCUGUCAAAGUAGUGGCUUUAAAAAAGCUGUUUUUUUAAACAAAAUUAGCCCUAUACUACCAAUGUGUAUCAGGAGCAGGAGUACUGUGAAUUGUCAGGUUUGUUAGUAUAGUGAUUCCAUAUUCUGAUCCUAAGUAGGAUUGUAAAUAACCCUUAUUUAAAAAGACAACAGCUAAUUGCACUUUUAUCUAAUUUUGUGUAAUCGCUAAGUGCAUGCCGAAAUUUAAAAUGUAGACAAAGUGGGACAGUGGACCCUUAUAAUGUUUAAUGUAUAUUUCAGUUAUUUCUUUGCUUGCUGCACAUGUUGUGUUAUAUGCAAUAUUAGUCAGAACUCAGUGUUUGACUUCUCUUAUUUGUCACCUUUCUUGCAGGUAUAUUUAUACAUACUGUUUGUUUUAAAGUCUUUUCAACCCACUGAGACAAGUCACUGGUCUGAAGGCAGUAAGUAAAAUGUAAUAAAACC